rnacentral:snRNA from 1 species
AUCGCUUCUCGGCCUUUUGGCAAGAUCAAGUGUAGUAUCUGUUCUUAUCAGUUUAAUAUCUGAUACGUCCCAUCGGGGACCAUAUAUUAAAUUGAUUUUUGGAAUAGGGAGAUGGAAUAGGGGCUUGCUCCGUCCACUCCACGCAUCGACCUGGUAUUGCAGUACCUCCAGGAACGGUGCACCCCCU